rnacentral:rRNA from 1 species
UACGUAGGGUCCAAGCGUUAAUCGGAAUUACUGGGCGUAAAGCGUGCGCAGGCGGUUUUGUAAGACGGAUGUGAAAUCCCCGGGCUCAACCUGGGAACUGCAUUCGUGACUGCAAAGCUAGAGUGUGUCAGAGGGAUGCAGAAUUCCAGGUGUAGCGGUGAAAUGCGUAGAUAUCUGGAGGAAUACCGGUGGCGAAGGCGGGUCUCUGGGCAACAACUGACGCUGAGGAGCGAAAGCGUGGGGAGCGAACAGG